GACGAACGCUGGCGGCGUGCCUAAUACAUGCAAGUCGAACGCAGUGGGGACGGGUGAGUAACACGUGGGUAACCUCCCAUCAGAGGGGAUAACACUUGGAAACAGGUGCUAAACCGAUACUGAUGGAUGAACCCGCGGUGCAUUUGCUAGUUGGUGAGGUAACGGCUCACCAAGGCCACGAUGCAUAGCCGUCGUAACAGGGGGAUCGGCCACGCUGGGACGUAAACACGGCCCAGACUCAUACGGGAGGCAGCAGUAGGGAAUCUGCGGCAAUGGACGAAAGUCUGACCGAGCAACGCCGCGUGAGUGAAGAAGGUUUUCGGAUCGUAAGACUCUGUUGUUAGAGAAGCGGUAUCUAACCAGAAAGCCACGGCUAACUACGUGCAAGCAGCCGCGGUAAUUC
rnacentral:rRNA from 1 species